CUUGGCUGUCGAAACGUUGAUAUUACAUUUUUGCAUCUGAGCUCUUAGAGUGUGCGGCUCUCUUUUAUUUUCACGUUUCUACUCCGCUAGCCAGCACCUCGUCUUAAUAGGUGUGCGUUUCUUUUUCUUUUAGAUCGUUAUGUUACCCAGUAAACAGCACCCUACCGACAAAAAAAGCUCUUAAACGAUGCCGAAUGAUAAUUAUUUUCCUGACACUGGUCAUAGACCCAGACAAGAUUACUUUGAAUAUAGUCAAAGGGAGCGUGAUAAGAUCAUUAUUUCGGAGUCCCUUUUUGACAUGCCGGGAGGUAAUUCCGACCCCUCGAAAGAACUAUUACAUUUAUCUAAGCGCCAGACGAGAACGCAUCUACAUAUAGUUACUCUUAGUGAUUAUGUGCGUCGAGGCAUUAUUCCACGGGGACUCAGGUGGCAAAAAGAACCAUCAUUGGGACAGCGCACAGAUGAUUACUGUGAGCGCUGGUGUGCCAUCCUGAACAAAUGCUCUAUUGAUUUAAUGACAUUAAUUGUUGACCAGUUGAAGGAUUUUAUUGAAAUGGAUAACACGAUUAAAGACAAACGCACAGCUCUACAAACAAUUGUUAAUGAUGAUGGCAUAUUCAAUGAACUGAUGAAAACUAACCAAGCGCUCCAGGACAAGUUGUCUACAGAAAUAAAGGAAUUUGAAAUCAAGAAAUUCAACCAAGACAAAAAAGACGAGACCGAUGGUAAAGUCUACUUCUGGAGAAACCCUGACAAAAGAGGUCCUGCUCCCCCUCUCCAUGACAGACGCAGGAGGGAUGCCGCUUACUUCUAUCCACCCUUGUCUGAUCAACGCUCCACAACCAGCGCCUCAUCGGCUUCCAGUGGUAGUUUUUUAUUCAACGAGAGACUGGACGGACGGAAGGGCGGAGGAGGCCGCAGGCACGCGCAUCGACGAGAUGUCGCACCCGACGGGAUUGAGGUGCACCAAUGACCAGCUCUGAAACCAGAUUGCAUUGCAGAGAAGAUGGCCCUGUUGGAGCUCUAGGAGAUGGUUUUAACAUGGAAGCAUCUUCUUCAGGGAGAUCUACAGGAUGUUUUCAGCCAGUGUAAGCCUCCUGGCAGAGACAACCAGGUUUUUGGCUAAAAUGUCCUGGUACUUGGUAAAGUUCAUGAUGCCGUUGACCUUACGGGCCCCAGGACCAGUGGAAGCAAAUCAUCUUACUGGGAUGAGUAAGCAGUUAGCGGACAGCAGACAAAGCUACAGCAUGAGGUCUGGAGCCCUUGGCACCAUGGGCUGGAAUGCCCCAGAGGUCCUGGAUGACAGCAGGAAAGUAAACCCUGAGUAAAACAGGAUUGGCCCAUUGCUCAAAGGAACAGUUCACCCUAAAAAGUUGAUCUUCUGUUGUGGAGAUCAAGCUACAGUAUAUUACACAUACGUACAUAAGAAAGAUAGGCACCAUCUACACAACCAUGGUGUGGGAUGUGGACCAUGCUUGACAUUAGACCACUUUUGGGGAUAAAAGAUGAACCACUUUCCAUCCAUAAGUUUAUGCCAGUAAAGUCAUAUUAUAUGUAUAUAUUUUUAAAUGUGAUGGAACCAGGAAGUUUAGGUACAACUUUAUGAUUGCCAAUAGAUCAUUUGUUCGUUCGACAUGGUGGGAUCUUUUUGUGUCUGUAAAAUGAAUUAUGUGAGAAAUGGCAGUGGAAACGGCUUCAUUGAUAUAAUAACCAUCAUACUGAAGUAAACUUGGAGUCACACAAUGAUAUGUUGUGUGGUCCUCCCACUACGAAUUUGUUGGCUAGAGAGCACAUGCCAAGACCAGAGUAGGCACAUUUCUAUUUAAUGCAACAGUUUUUGUGACAAAACUAUUGGUAGAAUUGAAAAUACAAUGGAAACACAUUCAACUUCUGAGUUUUAUUUGGUACAUGAAAACUUAAGUGAAAAAGUACAUUUUGUGUACACUAUGUCAUCACACUGAUUUUUAUCCACAGAUUUAUAUCCUUAACAAGUUGUAUCCUCAACAUAUUUGCUUACUAAAUAUGCUACCUGUAUAUGAAAUAAAUGUUGAGACAGAUUAAGUUUACUGUGACUGUUGCAUUCAUGAGUAUUUAACGUGCACUAUAUAGUAAUUUUCCUAUGUAGCUCGUUGGUAUGUUUUAGUUUUCAUGCCUUGUGGAGAACUAGUCGGCUGAAGAUUUCCUGACAGGAAGACUAUAUUUAUAGGAUAUCUAACUUUAAACCAGGACAUUGUGAGGUAUUUCAAUCUUGCUGCAUUAUGAGACUUGACGAGGGGAUUGGUGUGUUUUACAGGUUUUAGAAUAAAUUAUUAGAAUGUACUGUGUGGAAUACUCAUUGCAUGUAUUUUCUCUUGCCAGAUCUAUGUAAAUUCUGGUUGUAUAAAGGAGGGUCUGUCAGGGAUUUUCUCUGUGCCACAAGAAACAAGGUAUGGGUAUCUUUCCAGCUAAAUGGAACAACAAUACUUUUAUGGUGUACUAUUUAUGGCUGGAGGGAAGGAGUGACAGAAUUAUAAUUGGAUGUAACAGUGUAUGUAUAACCUUCUCUGUGCAACAGCCUCGUAUGUAUGUUUACUUGAUUAAAGAUGGACGUUUAUAUUAAUCGUUUUUCUUUUGUCCCCCUUCCUAUAGAAGCACUCCGGGGGCAAACUACCUGCCCUCCAGGACACCUACACCACCCGAUGUUACAGGAAGGCCAUAAAGAUCAUCAAAGACAACAACCACC